GAGACGCCUCCAGACGAGAGCGGAGCCUUCCGCCGUGUAUGUGUACCUUGCCCCGCGCCCUCGGUUUCUCUCUCCGACCCCGGCUCCCGCUUCCUGCAGUGCCGGCGGCCUCGAAAAACGUGAUCCUUGCAAUCCACCCCCCUCUUACCGAAGGGGAUCACACUUUCCGGUGCGUGUCUGCCCUAGCAGAGGGCUGGUGCCAGUUGCCGAGGAGGCAGGAGGCGGCAACGGAGAAAGCUCCCCUUGCCUUUAUACAUAUAUAUAUAUGGAGAGAGCGAAAGCUAAGAGAUCCUGGAAAGAGGAGGGGGAUGAUUAUUAUGGAGACCCUCACCCUGGCAGUGGAUAACAAGGUCUUUGCCUGGGGAUUUACAGGAGCAGGACUCCCUUCUCUUGCUAGGCCUAAUCCUCCAGUUUCUCAAGUUAGCAAGGCCUUUUAUUAAAUCGCUGAAUAACAGGAUACAGCAACACACAGCCGAAGAAAGGACUAAUAGGCCGGUGGGGGUCGGCGUGGUGGAUUGGUGGGGGUGCGUAAGAAGUGUUGCUAGCUUGCUGUUUCCUUAUUGAAGAAAGAGCAAGAAAGCUCACUCCAUCAUCCCAUUGUGGCCAAGGCAGCAAUCCUAAACUCUUUGCUAGGGAGGCUGACCCAUCGCACACAUUAGAGCUUCCUUCUGCACAGGCUUGGCCCAACUUCCCCUAUUUCCUGGGUUGAAGGGGACAGUGGUGAAGAAAACUAUACCUUGUUUCCCUUUUUAUGGAGGCAGCUUAAGAAUGAUUGGUAAAGUUGGCAGGGGAUUGGCGGGGGGAGCUUAGCCUGCCUUGACAAAACGGCUUUAAGCCUAAGAGUCUUCCACUCCCCCUUUUUGGAGCUGAUGAUCCAAAGAACCACCAGAUUCUAGGUUUUGUACAUAAAUCACAUAUCCUGGUCUCGCGAGAUUUAAGGCAAGGCAACUUCGGUCAAGUCAAGACUGACCCUCCUGAAUUGGGGGAUGCAGAGGAGCUAGGGGCCUGUUUGGAAAACAGGGUGGUGUGGGGGGGCAGUGGUUUAGAAAAGUUGUUGCAGUUGAGAACCUGGAUUCAUCACAGAUCUGAUUCUUAAGAACAGGUGUGCACAAUGCAGUUUUUGUGCCAAACCAUUUUAAGUGCAGAUGAUGAUGAUGAUUUUCCUGCCUUUCACCUUAGGCCCCAGGGCAGGUUCAAUCAAAAUACAUAGUUCAUAAUACACACAGUUCAUAAUAUGCACUGCAGUCUUCAAGAUACUUGCUAGGAAGUAGUGCCAUUGAACUCUGCGAGAUGAAUUUAGGAUAAGGUUACCAGAUUUUUUUCAAUGAAUUCGGGGACACUUUUCAACUUCAAUGGAUUUUGUAUGGGGGCUGAUUUGUAAAUCCGGGAAGUGUCUUCAGGGAAACAGGGAUGUCUGGUAACCUUAAUUUAGGACUUGGCGUAAACGUGUUUAGGAUUAUGGGUGGACUAGUUUCCUUCACUAGCUACUUAAUUAAAAAUGGAUUAAAAACAAUUACACCCUUAUCCCCAAAUUUGUUGUGUCAACCAUGAUGCCUGCAUUCCUCCAGAAAGCCAUGGCAGCAGAAAUGUUUAGAAAAUGAGGUAACCAGCAAGCAACAUACUCCAGUCUAGUUAAUACACGAAGGGGUUAAUGCCAUAGAGUAUGCAGUCCCACCAGGCAUAGCUAUGUCACUUCCCCUCAUCUUGGGAGGAAAUAGGCAAUCAUUCCUAUUGCCCCUAGUCUACCUGAGAAACUCACUGUGUGAGGAGGUUUGAACUGGUUGCUGCAGCUCAACUGCUUGGCUCUCACCAGCCACUCUUGAGUUCCUAUACCAAUAAUCUAGGAAUUUUUACCACUUUGUAACUAAGCUAAGUUUUACUGCCUGUGCAAGUUUUCUGACUGAUGUAUGGAAAAGUACACGAACCAGAUAUUUGAAGAGUUUGUAAAUAAACCAAUUUUUAACUUACCAAA